GCAAGGGCAAGGCGGCACCUGCCUGUAGUCCCAGCUACUCAGGAGGCUGAGGCGGGUGGAUGAUUUCAGCUAUUCUGGGCUAUAGUGCAUUAUGCAGAUCAGGUGUUCUCACUAAGUUCAGCAUCAAUAUGGUGAAUUCCCGGUAGUGUGGGACCAGGUUGCCCAAGGAGGGGUGAACCAGCCAAGGUCAGAAACAGCAGGUCAGAACUUCUGUGCUGGUCAUGGAGAUCUGCAGUAGUGGGAUCAUGCCUGUGAAUAACCACUGUACUCCAGCCAGGGCAACACAGACAGACCCUGUCUCUA
ensembl:misc_RNA Metazoa_SRP Metazoan signal recognition particle RNA